rnacentral:rRNA from 1 species
UACAGAGGGGGCAAGCGUUGUUCGGAAUUACUGGGCGUAAAGGGCGCGUAGGCGGCCUGCUAAGUCGAACGUGAAAUCCCUGGGCUCAACCCAGGAACUGCGUCCGAUACUGGUUGGCUUGAAUCCGGGAGAGGGAUGUGGAAUUCCAGGUGUAGCGGUGAAAUGCGUAGAUAUCUGGAGGAACACCGGUGGCGAAGGCGACAUCCUGGACGGUUUCUGACGCUAAGACGCGAAAGCGUGGGGAGCAAACAGG